AUGAACGCUGGCGGCGUGCUUAACACAUGCAAGUCGAACGGAAAGGCCAGUGCUUGCACUGGUGCUCGAGUGGCGAACGGGUGAGUAACACGUGGGUGAUCUGCCCUGCACUUUGGGAUAAGCCUGGGAAACUGGGUCUAAUACCAGAUAGGACCAUGCUUUGGAUGGUGUGGUGGAAAGUUUUUUCGGUGUGGGAUGAGCUUGCGGCCUAUCAGCUUGUUGGUGGGGUAAUGGCCUACCAAGGCGUCGACGGGUAGCCGGCCUGAGAGGGUGUACGGCCACAUUGGGACUGAGAUUCGGCCCAGACUCCUACGGGAGGCAGCAGCGGGGAAUAUUGCACAAUGGGCGCAAGCCUGAUGCAGCGACGCCGCGUGGGGGAUGACGGCCUUCGGGUUGUAAACUCCUUUCGCAACUGACGAAGCUUUUUGUGACGGUAGGUUGAGAAGAAGCACCGGCUAACUACGUG
rnacentral:rRNA from 1 species